GACGUAGGGGGCCAGCGUUGCUCGGAAUUACUGGGCGUAAAGGGUCCGUAGGCGGUGCGGUAAGUCGGGAGUGAAAUCUCUGGGCUUAACUCAGAGGCUGCUUCCGAAACUACCGUGCUAGAGUGCGAGAGAGGCAAGUGGAAUUGCGGGUGUAGCGGUGAAAUGCGUAGAUAUCGGGAAGAACACCCGUGGCGAAGGCGGCACUCUGGGACGGUACUGACGCUGAGACGCGAAAGCGUGGGGAGCGAACAGG
rnacentral:rRNA from 1 species